CAUAUCAAUAAGCGGAGGAAAAGAAACUAACAAGGGAUUCCCCUAGUAACUGCGAGUGAAGCGGGAAAAGCUCAAAUUUAAAAUCUGUCAGCCUUUUGGUUGUCCGAGUUGUAAUCUAGAGAAGUGUUAUCCGCGCUGGACCGUGUACAAGUCUCCUGGAAUGGAGCGUCAUAGAGGGUGAGAAUCCCGUCUUUGACACGGACUGCCAGGGCUUUUGUGAUGCGCUCUCAAAGAGUCGAGUUGUUUGGGAAUGCAGCUCAAAAUGGGUGGUAAAUUCCAUCUAAAGCUAAAUAUUGGCGAGAGACCGAUAGCGAACAAGUACCGUGAGGGAAAGAUGAAAAGAACUUUGGAAAGAGAGUUAAACAGUACGUGAAAUUGCUGAAAGGGAAACGCUUGAAGUCAGUCGCGUUGUCCAGGGAUCAACCUUGCUUUUGCUUGGUGUACUUUCUGGUUAACGGGUCAGCAUCAAUUUUGACUGUUGGAAAAAGAUCAGGGGAAUGUGGCAUCUUAGGAUGUGUUAUAGCCCUUGGUUGUAUACAAUGGUUGGGAUUGAGGAACUCAGCACGCCGCAAGGUCGGGUAUUUAUUUAUCACGUACGUGCUUAGGAUGCUGGCAAAAUGGCUUUAAUCGACCCGUCUUGAAACACGGACCAAGGAGUCUAACAUGCCUGCGAGUAUUUGGGUGGAAAACCCGAGUGCGCAAUGAAAGUGAAAGUUGAGAUCCCUGUCGUGGGGAGCAUCGACGCCCGGACCAGACCUUUUGUGACGGUUCCGCGGUAGAGCAUGUAUGUUGGGACCCGAAAGAUGGUGAACUAUGCCUGAAUAGGGUGAAGCCAGAGGAAACUCUGGUGGAGGCUCGUAGCGAUUCUGACGUGCAAAUCGAUCGUCAAAUUUUGGGUAUAGGGGCGAAAGACUAAUCGA
rnacentral:rRNA from 1 species